AUAACAGGGCCGAUGUUUCCAUGGCGGCUCACCCCGGCCUGCCCAGUCAGCGCCCUUCCUUUCACUUUCCGUACUGAGAGUUUGGGAAAACAGCUUGGUGGGAAGGAGAUCCACACGGCCUCAGCCCAAGGAGUCCCACCCUACAAAGUCCUUCAUUGUCGUUGAGGAUCACAGGUACCUGCUCACGGGUUUAUUUUCUUGGUAAGUUAUGGGCUCUGCAAACUAUGGAGCCUUCUAGGCUUUUUCUGCUCAGCCGCUACCUGGAGCCUGUGCUGGCCUCUGUGAGGAAGCUGGAUGUCCUUGACGGAGAGUGGAGCAGAUACCAAGACAGCGAACACUUGGGAAGUCCUGAGGGUUGGCUCUGAGCAGACAGCAGCUCUGCUUGUUGCAUCCAGCCGUGUCAUCUGGUUGUGUAUGACAGGUUGUGUCUGGAGAAAAACAACAAAAAACCGACAAGAACCUGUUUUGCCAUUGAAAUCCACCAGCUUCAGGAAUGGCUGGCUCCGGAGCCCCUUUGUUGGCUUCUUUCUCUGGAACAUGAUCAACAAUUUCAGUGGAGUUGGAAGAUUUUCCUUUUCUCAUUAGUUCCAGAAAGAAAGAAAGAAAAAAAAAACCAAAAA
rnacentral:lncRNA from 1 species